rnacentral:lncRNA from 1 species
GCACCGACGGUGGGGACACUCAGGGAGGAGAAGAAGAAGAAAGAAGGAGAAAGAAGAGGAAGAAAAAAAAUAGUGUAAAUUGGAGGAAGAAGAAGAAAAAAGAAAUAAUACAACUUCAUCCUAAAGAGUGUAACUUCUACCUAAAUAGUGCAACUUCAUUUUAAAGAGUGUGAAUCUGACUCCAAAUACUAUAAUUUAUGUCUCAAAGAGUGCAACAUUAUUUAAAAUAGUACAAAGUUAAUUAAAAUAGUGCAACUUUUUUUUAAAAUAGUAUAACACUAUUUUAAUAGUGUAAUUUCAUUAUUUUCUUCCUUCUUAUAUGAUUUUUGAUUUUUUAUGGAAGGAAAAAAAUUACUUU